rnacentral:rRNA from 1 species
AGUUCGAUUAUGGCUCAGAUUGAACGCUGGCAGGAUGCUACAUGCAAGUCGAACGGCAGCACGGACUUCGGUCUGGUGGCGAGUGGCGAACGGGUGAGUAAUGUAUCGGAACGUGCCUAUUAGCGGGGGAUAACUACGCGAAAGCGUAGCUAAUACCACAUACGCCCUUCCAGGGAAAGCGGGGGGACCUUCGGGCCUCGCACUAUGAAACGGCCGAUAUCGGAUUAGCUAGUUGGUGGAGUAACGGCUCACCAGGCGACGAUCCGUAGCUGGUUUGAGAGGACGACCAGCCACGCUGGGACUGGUUACAGCCCAGACCUACGGGAGGCAGCAGUGGGGAAUUUUGGACAAUGGGGAAACCCUGAUCCAGCCAUCCCACGCGUGUGCGUGAAAUGCUUCGGGUUGUAAAACCCUUUUGGCAGGAAAGAAACGGCACGGGAUAUUACCCCGUGUAACUGACAGUACCUUUACCAGAAUGCUUCCGGCUAACUACGUGCCAGCAACCGCGGUAAUACGUAGGGUGCAGCGUUAGUGAUGAAUUACUGGGCGUAAAGCGUGCGCAGGCGGUUCAGAGAGAAAGAUGUGAAAUCCCAGAGCUUAACUUUGGAACUUCAUUUUUAACCGAGCUGGUGUGUCAAGAGGGAGUGGAAUUCACGUGUAGCGGUAAAUACGUAGAUAUGCCGGGCACCGAUGGCGAAACAGCCUCUAGGAUAACACUGACGCUCAUGCACGAAAGCGUGGGAGCAAACAGGAUUGAAUACCCUGGUAGUCCACGCCUAAACGAUGUCAACUAGCUGUUGGAGCCUUCGGGCCUUGUGUACAAUAACGCGUGAAGUUGACCGCCUGGGGAGGUACGGUCGCAAGAUUAAAACUCAAAAGGAAUUGACGGGACCGCACAAGCGGUGGAUGAUGUGGAUUAAUUCGAUGCAACGCGAAAACCCAACACCACCCUUGACAUGUCUGGAAUCCCGAGAUUUACCGGAGUGUCUCGCAAGAGAACGGAACACAGGUGCUGCAUGGCUGUCGUCAGCUCGUGUCGUGAGAUGUUGGGUUAAGUCCCGCAACAGGCGCAACCCUUGUCAUUAGUUGCUACGAAAAGGGCAUCGACUGAGACUGCCGGUGACAAACGGAGGAAGGUGGACGUCAAGUCCUCAUGGCCCUUAUGGGUAGGGCUUCACCCCUCAUACAAUGGUCGGGACAGAGGUUCGCCAACCCGCGAGAGGCCAAUCCCAGGAAACCCGAUCACAGUCCGGAUCGCAGUCUGCAACUCGACUGCGUGAAGUCGGAAUCGCUAACAAUCGCGGAUCAGCAUGUCGCGGUGAAUACGUUCCCGGGUCUUGUACACACCGCCCGUCACACCAUGGGAGUGGGUUUUACCCGAAGUAGUUAGCCUAACCAUGGGAGGGCGAUUACCACGGUAGGAUUCGCGGCUGAGGUGAAGUCGUAACAAGGUAG